rnacentral:rRNA from 1 species
AACGAACGCUGGCGGCGUGCCUAACACAUGCAAGUCGAACGUGAUCCGGAGCUUGCUCCGGUGAAAGUGGCGCACGGGUGAGUAACGCGUAGAUAAUCUGCCUGGUGAUCCGGGAUAACACUUCGAAAGGGGUGCUAAUACCGGAUAAGCCCACGGAGUCCUUGGACUCUGCGGGAAAAGGAGGGGACCUUCGGGCCUUCCGUCAUCAGAUGAGUCUGCGUACCAUUAGCUAGUUGGUAGGGUAAAGGCCUACCAAGGCGACGAUGGUUAGCUGGUCUGGGAGGAUGAUCAGCCACACUGGAACUGAGACACGGUCCAGACUCCUACGGGAGGCAGCAGUGGGGAAUUUUGCGCAAUGGGGGAAACCCUGACGCAGCAACGCCGCGUGAGUGAUGGAGGCCCUUGGGUCGUAAAGCUCUGACAGAGGGAAAGAAAUGUGGGUGGCUAAUAUCCAUUCCACUUGACGGUACCCUCAAAGGAAGCACCGGCUAACUCCGUGCCAGCCGCCGCAGUAACAC